UCAAAAUUAUUAAGUAAAUUAAUAGGUUAACAAGGGAUUAACAUGAAUGGGCCAUAGGGUAUGAUCAUUGAGGGAGGUGCGUAUAAAGGAACAAAAAUGCUUAGGCCAUACACCCAAUCUUCCAAACACAUGAUUCGGAUUCAACAUGAACAAUCAAGAUUGCUCUUAUGUUCAAACAACAACACGUUCAGGUCAACACGCGAAAAUUUCACUCACGGCACCGAAAAUCGCUUCACCAAAAUUCGGAAUCCCAACUCGUCAUCAAUGCGCGCAAACAAUCAUAUAAUCACUGAGGGAAGAUUCAAUAACUUGAUUUCACCAUCUCACAAAUAAAUAGGAACGUACUGAAUGUGUGUUCAAAUUCACCAUCAAAUCAAAUUCAUCCACUGUUUAUUCUUACGCAUGAAUAAAGAGAUUGAAGGAAGAAGAAACUCAUCGGCUUCACGUUCUGAUACGACGGCUCCAGGAAGUAUUCAUAUUCAUGGAGCUUGUAAUAUGCUUGCUUAGGGACUAUGGCUUGUGUAAGACCCUAAUUUUGACCCCUAAGAUCUCUCAUGCCAUCUCAUAGCUUUGCAUUGGCAUUGGGAUCCCACAUUGGUAUUCUCCUCACCUAUCAUUCAUUGGAUUUGCAUUGGGAGAGAUCACGGCAUAUAUGAUUGUAUCAUACUUUAUUUUCUUUGUUUACUAACCAAAAUACAAAAAUAUGUCUAGUAUAGCUUUGUUUCUUUUAUAGGUAUUGUGUGUGUCCAUAUGUGUCCCACCAAGCCCACAACUAGGGUUUGAGACCCUUAAUGCAAGAUAUAAAGCAAGCAAAGGUCCACAUUGGUUCUAAACAUCAUAUAUGGAUCCCCAUGUUCUUUAUUUGUCAUUUUGAUCAAGAGUUUGAAGCUUGUUUGUCAAGGAAUCCCUAAUUCUUCUAGGUAUCUUGUGUGUCUUCCUUAGCAUGUUUCUUCAACAGUUGGUCAAAGAUAUCAAGGGAUACUUCAUUUUGCAUCAUCAUAAUCAUAUAUGAUCCUCUAUGAAACCCCAGUAGCAAAUGAACUUCAAGUGUGCAAGUUGAUUCAAGGAAGUUGACCAGAAAAGUCAACUCGUCAAAUCUAGGGUUUCCUAGACCCUAUCUCCUACAAUUUAUGUCAUAUGAAAAUGAUUCCAAGAGAAAAGUUACUUUUUAUGACAGUAAAAACAUCUUUCAUGUUGACCUCAAGAGCUAAUUUUGCUUGAAAGUCAUUUUUUAUGGUGAAAGAUUAUACGUCAUUUUGAUUGUGCCCUAGAUAUAAGGUCAACUUCCAAGAGUCAUAACUUCCUCAUUUUUUAUGAUAUGAAUAUGAUUAAUUUUAAGAUGU